rnacentral:rRNA from 1 species
GACGAACGCUGGCGGCGUGCUUAACACAUGCAAGUCGAACGGUGAGGCCCUUCUUUUGUGGGUUGCUCUGGUGGCGUACGGAUGAGUAACACGAGAGUAACCUGCCCUUCACUUUUGUAUAACUUCACGAAACUGGGGCGUAUCCCAGAUAGGAGCUCCUGCUUCAUUGUGGUGGUUGGAAUGUUUCGGCGGUUGGGGAUGUGCGUGCGGCUUUUCAGCUUUUUGGUGGGGUAGUGGCUGACCAAGGCUUUGAAGGGUAGCCGGCCUGAGAGGGUGACCGGCCAGAUUGGGACUGAGAUACGGCCCAGACUCCGACGGGAGGCAGCAGUGGGGAAUAGUGCAAAAUGGGCGGAAGCCGGAUGCAGCAACGCCGCGUGCGGGAUGAAGGCCUUCGGGUUGUAAACCGCUUUCGCCUGUGACGAAGCGUGAGUGACGGUAAUGGGUAAAGAAGCACCGGCUAACUACGUG